rnacentral:rRNA from 1 species
UACAGAGGGUGCAAGCGUUGUUCGGAAUUAUUGGGCGUAAAGGGCGCGUAGGCGGUGCUGUAAGUCUGUAGUGAAAUCUCUGGGCUCAACUCAGAGUCUGCUAUAGAAACUGCAGUGCUGGAGUGUGGGAGAGGUGAGUGGAAUUCUCGGUGUAGCGGUGAAAUGCGUAGAUAUCGAGAGGAACACCUGCGGCGAAGGCGGGUUGCUGGGCUGAUACUGACGCUGAGGCGCGAAAGCCAGGGGAGCGAACGGG